rnacentral:rRNA from 1 species
CCUACGGGGGGCAGCAGUGAGGAAUAUUGGUCAAUGGACGAGAGUCUGAACCAGCCAAGUAGCGUGAAGGAUGACUGCCCUAUGGGUUGUAAACUUCUUUUACAUGGGAAUAAAACGUUCCACGUGUGGGAUUUUGUAUGUACCAUAUGAAUAAGGAUCGGCUAACUCCGUGCCAGCAGCCGCGGUAAUACGGAGGAACCGAGCGUUAUCCGGAUUUAUUGGGUUUAAAGGGAGCGUAGGUGGAUCGUUAAGUCAGUUGUGAAAGUUUGCGGCUCAACCGUAAAAUUGCAGUUGAAACUGGCAGUCUUGAGUACAGUAGAGGUGGGCGGAAUUCGUGGUGUAGCGGUGAAAUGCUUAGAUAUCACGAAGAACUCCGAUUGCGAAGGCAGUUCACUGGACUGCAACUGACACUGAGGCUCGAAAGUGUGGGUAUCAAACAGGAUUAGAUACCCGGGUAGUC